GAGUUUGAUCAUGGCUCAGGAUGAACGCUGGCGGCGUGCCUAAUACAUGCAAGUCGAGCGAACGGACGAGAAGCUUGCUUCUCUGAUGUUAGCGGCGGACGGGUGAGUAACACGUGGAUAACCUACCUAUAAGACUGGGAUAACUUCGGGAAACCGGAGCUAAUACCGGAUAAUAUUUUGAACCGCAUGGUUCAAAAGUGAAAGACGGUCUUGCUGUCACUUAUAGAUGGAUCCGCGCCGCAUUAGCUAGUUGGUAAGGUAACGGCUUACCAAGGCAACGAUGCAUAGCCGACCUGAGAGGGUGAUCGGCCACACUGGAACUGAGACACGGUCCAGACUCCUACGGGAGGCAGCAGUAGGGAAUCUUCCGCAAUGGGCGAAAGCCUGACGGAGCAACGCCGCGUGAGUGAUGAAGGUCUUCGGAUCGUAAAAACUCUGUUAUUAGGGAAGAACGAUAUGUGUAAGUAACUGUGCACAUCUUGACGGUACCUAAUCAGAAGGCCACGGCUAACUACGUC
rnacentral:rRNA from 1 species